AGGAGUGUAGCUCAGUUUGGUAGAGCAGCUGUCUCCAAAACAGCCGGUCGGGGGUUCGAGUCCCUCCACUCCUGCCA
rnacentral:tRNA from 1 species